rnacentral:rRNA from 1 species
AGCGAACGCUGGCGGCAGGCCUAACACAUGCAAGUCGAACGGACCCUUCGGGCUUAGUGGCGGACGGGUGAGUAACACGUUGGAACGUGCCUUUAGGUUCGGAAUAGCUCCUGGAAACGGGUGGUAAUGCCGAAUGUGCCCUUCGGGGGAAAGAGUUAUCGCCUUUAGAGCGGCCCGCGUCUGAUUAGCUAGUUGGUGAGGUAAUGGCUCACCAAGGCGACGAUCGGUAGCUGGUCUGAGAGGAUGACCAGCCACAUUGGGUCUGAGACACGGCCCAAACUCCUACGGGAGGCAGCAGUGGGGAAUCUUGCGCAAUGGGCGAAAGCCUGACGCAGCCAUGCCGCGUGGAUGAUGAAGGUCUUAGGAUUGUAAAAUCCUUUCACCGGUGAAGAUAAUGACUGUAGCCGGAGAAGAAGCCCCGGCUAACUUCGUGCCAGCCGCCGCGGUAAUAC